rnacentral:rRNA from 1 species
CCACGGGUGAGUAACACGUGAGUGACCUGCCUUUUAGACUGGAACAACUUACCGAAAGGUGGAGCUAAUGCCGGAUGACGUUAUAUAAGUGCAUGUUUAUAUAGGAAAAGUUGGGGAGACCUGACGCUGAAAGAUGGACUCGCGUCCCAUUAGCUAGUUGGUAGGGUAAUGGCCUACCAAGGCGACGAUGGGUAGCCGGCCUGAGAGGGUGGCCGGCCCACACUGGGACUGAGACACGGCCCAGACUCCUACGGGAGGCAGCAG